ACGUCGAUUAUUUGACCCUGUUUUCCAGCCUCGCCGUGACGUCACGCUGCGUAUCCCGAGCGCUUCCCUGAGCGCGUGGUCCCGAUCGCAAGCACGUGGAAGUGAGGUCGAGGUGAGACGCGCGACUGAUCAUCGUGGGUGAGGGGGUGAGUGGGGGCAGAAAGGAAUAGAAAGGAGAGAAAAACCACCACGGAAAGCUGGAACCGAAGCGAUUGAGAUCCAGGAGACGCGGCUACCAGGCCGAGGCCGCAUUUCAACCGGAAAUAGACCAGUGCUUCUGAGAAGGGGCAGUGCUGCUGCAGAUCCCCCCCCCCCAUCCCCCCUCCCCCCAGCUGUUGAGCUUACAAACAAAGAUACUGAUCAGAAUGGGAAGGAUGCAGAGCUGGAUGCAGUCGGGUUUGGAUUCAGUUUCACGAGUCCUAAAAACACACACAAACGCACGCACAAACACCGCAUGGGUUUUUAAUACUAUCUACUUCCCCCUUUUCUUGGAGAGGACACGCGCAUUCACCCUGAAUGGGGCCCCCUGUGGUGAUCUGCGCUGUGGGCGGGAAGCACAGAGUGUUACAACUGCCACGCCGGCCCGCUUAAAGGGGCCGCGCCGCCGGUUCCUCUUUCCGCGCGGCGGGAGCUCGGUGAGCGACCGCCUGGACGUGAAAGCAGCGAGGACGAGGACGCUGGUGUUUUCAGAAUACGUCUUAUCGCUAUAUUUUAGAAUAAUCUAUGGAAUAUAUGAAGAAUCAUUGAUCCAACAUGCACAUUUGCGUGUCUUUUCUCCUACUUUAAGCUGUUGUUGAAACCCGUGUUUGAAUAAAGAUUUCACAGAUUUACCACUACGGGUGUGUUUUUCUUUCUUUCCCGACGCCGCUCCUGGAUGUAGCGCAUCGCCGCUUGAUGUUGUCUUUACGUUGUGUUUGUGUGGUCGUUUGUGUGACUGCACUCCGCCGAGUUGCGUAGUUUGAUUCAUCGCUUUUGGUUAUUUGAUGCAGAUGUGAAGCUCGCGACGUGUCCUCUAUGCCCGUCUUCGCGUUACCACUCUAAACGCUACGCUAGGCUAACGAUCUCUUCUAACACGCACAGGCCGGUAGAGCGGGCCCAAGUGCCUUGCUCAAGGGCAGCUGAGUUUAUGUUAUGACCUUUGCCCAGCAGAAUCCUUUCUAACCCUCCGAAUCAUUCAAACACUCUUUGGACACCUGUUGAACCCGCGCCAGGUGACGUCGGUCGGACUCCCGGCUCCGCCCCC